AUGUUUUUUCUGCUGGCCUCCCGUCCCUACAUGUUGCCUUACCCUGUUAACCGCCAGAGGUAUGUCCAGCUGUGCCAUGAUUCAAUCACUCUUCUGGGCAGAUGCCACGUCCGCGACCUGCUCAGGGCCAUAUCUUACCAGACGGAGCGCUUGAUGGAAGGACAAACACUUAAAACCACAAGAAAUACCUGCUCUUUGUAUCGCACAGUAAGUCAACUUGACAAAGGAUGUAAGCUUGCCGCAAAGCUGAUCCACACAAUAGAGGGAGCAGGAAGAGGUACGAAUGCUGAUGGCACCCUCGAGAUGAUCUUCGAGGUUUGGGUGGAGAUGUUAUGCUACACGGCCUACUCGUGUAACGAGAAAUCUCAUGCCAAAAACCUGACAAGCGGUGGUGACCUCAUGACAAUCGUUGCACUUAUGAUGGUAUACAUGUCAAAUGGCUUUAUUAUUCAGAAAUCAAAGGAGGAGGAGGAGAAGAAGAAGACGAGCGAUGAGGAGGCUGGCACUUCGUCGACUUAG
rnacentral:rRNA from 1 species